CAGAACGGUUUUCAUUACUCUUUACCUUUAGCCUUACCUAAGGGAUCUUCAUGUUCCUAGACUUUCUAUGGAAGAUCACACGCAGAGCACAACCUAAAGCUGAUGCACCACCUUUUCUUUAGUGCAAGAUAAGAUAGUUUCUCUAUUUCUAAACCUUUGUUAAAUUUGUGUUUGUGUUAGUUGAUCGAUUUUAGAAGUUGUAGAUGUUAUAGUUUAUGAAAUUACAUGUCACACAGAUCAGAUCAUCCAAUUUCCUACCUAUUUGUUUUUGUUUUGGUCGGCACUUUCCUAUAUUUAUUGGCUGGGGCCAAAAUUGAAGAGACUUGGCCCUGUAUCUGGUUGUCAUUUUAGGCCUAGUAUUUGUCAUGUCUCGUAAUUAUACUGUACAACGUUAUAUAAAUGGAAAACAUGUUAUUUGUUUUGUC